rnacentral:rRNA from 1 species
CGCGUAGGCGGAUCGUUAAGUCAGAGGUGAAAUCCCAGGGCUCAACCCUGGAACUGCCCUUGAUACUGGCGAUCUUGAGUAUGAGAGAGGUAUGUGGAACUCCGAGUGUAGAGGUGAAAUUCGUAGAUAUUCGGAAGAACACCAGUGGCGAAGGCGACAUACUGGCUCAUUACUGACGCUGAGGCGCGAAAGCUGGGAGCAAACA